GGGAGGGCUCGGAAGGACUCGGAGGGGGUCGGAGAGCACUCGGAAGGACUCGGAAGGCACUCAGAGGGCACUCGGAGGGGGUCGGAGAGCACUCGGAAGGACUCGGAGGGGAUCGGAAGGACUCGGAGCAGGGAAAUAAAGAUGGAUGAUGGCGCAGCCCUUGGUGUGUCAAUGGACUCAGGUCCUGGCAGGACCCCAACUGUAUGACCCCGGAGGACCCCAACCCCCUCAACUCUAUGAUCCUGGUGGACCUCCCCCCUACAACUCUAUGACCCUGGAGGACCCCAACCCCCAUCUCUAUGACCCUGGAGGACCCCAACUCUAUGACCCCGGAGGACCCCAUCUCUAUGACCCCGGAGGACCUCCUCUCCCCCAUGUAUAUGACCCUGGAGGACCCCAACUCUAUGACCCUGGAGGACCCCAUCUCUAUGACCCUGG